AUUCCUGUACGAUCACCGAUUCCUGUACGAUCACCGAAGUUAAGCAACAUCGAGCCUUUUCAUUACCUAAUUGGGUGACCGCUUAGGAAUAACAGGUGUUGUAGG